GCUGGGAUAGCUCAGUUAGUAAAGCAUGAGACUCCUAAUCUCAGGUUCAAGCCCCACACUGAACA